rnacentral:lncRNA from 1 species
ACAUUCCUCCAGACUGAUGCCUGCUUCUGUGGGGGCAGCUGCUAAUUGUCUUAACAACACACCCUUUUAAAGUGUGCCAUACAGAGAUUCAUCUGGACACAGGUUUCUAAAUAUCCCCACAGAUAGCUAAACUACAGCUCCAGAUUCUAACAGUGUGGUCCAGUGAGAAGCCCAAUGUUUGAUCUACAGUGCAUCUUCAUGUUCUGUAUGACAUGUCGAUGCAGAUGGAUGACAAAGCUUGGAUUUGUUCCUAGAUGUGGAAGCCUCUCAGGCAAUGCUCUCAAUCACUACACGGACUUGUACCUGCUCCACGCAAUGCCUAGAUCAUGGCUAAGUAGGUAGCAGAUAUCAGGAAGAGUUGCACCCUCAUCUGUAGUUUCUGCCUGUGUGUUCGUUCUUCCCAUGUUGUCAAAGGCUAUCAUUUGCACUGUGAGGACUGGUUCUCCAAAAGUGUCUGGGAAAGUUCAUCUUACCUUUUUGUCAUCCUUGUUAACAUAAACAUCUCUCCAGGGCUUUCAGUAUCUGUCAGAAUGAUAUUCACAAUUGGCUUUUUCUACCCCCUGUCGUUCUGGAGUUACAUGUUGGGCUGCCAACUAGGUUUUAAGAGGCAUCCCAGUGUUCUUGGUACUCCCUCCCAACUUCCUUCAGCAUCCUAGGGCUCUCCAGCCUGACAAGGCAGGAGUCUAGGGCCUAAUUGCCACUGACUUCAUAAUAGUCAAUGUUUCCUGUUGAUGGGGUAAUGGGCUUUUGCUAGUUUAAUCCUCUCAGUCCGCAGAAAUUUCUAGCAUCCUGAUAGUAACACCUCUGCCACGCAUCCCACAGACUCUUGGAGGCAGUGCCCUUCACUCUUAGUUCUAGAAUAGAACCAUGGUUGGUUUAGGCCAAUAAGCACGUGCUCAGUUCAAAUGGAUGACUCAAUUCUGACCAAUGAGAGACAAGGGGAUGAUUCCUGACUCAGAAACCCAGCAGCAGACUUCUUUUUACUCAUCACCAAGCAAUCAUGCGGGACGAGUAAAGAUCCAUGAGGUUCAUGAAUCCUUUUGGAACCCUGAAGGAAUCCAACUUUCAGAAUGAGAAAGAUAGAGUAAAGGGCUAAGGACAAAAACUGGAAAGGAAUGGGUUUGGAUGAUGAACGAAACCACUUAGUCAAGCUUAGUGCCAAAGCCUGGACUGCAUCCGAGUUUGUUCAGAAGGUGAGAGCUGUGAUUCUUUCUCUUGAUCAAGAUGGUCUUCUUGAGAUCCAGAUUUUUUUUCCUCUGACAUCGAUACUGGAAGAUUUUUAAUAAACAUGAUUUAAUAAACC